rfam:Candidatus Glassbacteria bacterium GWA2_58_10 gwa2_scaffold_16353, whole genome shotgun sequence.
GACACCCCGUCUGUACGUGAUUAACAAAUUGAUCCUACAAUAUACCAAUGGGAGCUUUCUCUGAAAGCCGACCUCAUGCCCCAGCGGUAAACGGGGACCUGGGAAUCUUUCAGGAAGCACCCACCCUGAUGUUAAGGGGUUCAAUAUGUUACUCACGCGCGGCGGGGUUUUU